GGAAGUGGAUAGCCCGCUGGUGGGGCUCCCGGACUUCAAAUCCGGUGGAGGGCGUGAGCAGCGUCCUCGGUGGGUUCGAUUCCCAUGCACUUCCGCCA
rnacentral:tRNA from 1 species